CGUAGGGUGCAAGCGUUGUCCGGAAUUAUUGGGCGUAAAGAGCUCGUAGGCCGUUCGUCGCGUCGGCUGUGAAAACCCGAGGCUCAACCUCGGGCCUGCAGUCGAUACGGGCGGACUGGAGUUCGGCAGGGGAGACUGGAAUUCCUGGUGUAGCGGUGAAAUGCGCAGAUAUCAGGAGGAACACCGGUGGCGAAGGCGGGUCUCUGGGCCGAUACUGACGCUGAGGAGCGAAAGCGUGGGGAGCGAACAGGAUUAGAUACCCUGGUAGUCCACGCCGUAAACGUUGGGCGCUAGGUGUGGGGGCCAUUCCACGGUCUCCGUGCCGCAGCUAACGCAUUAAGCGCCCCGCCUGGGGAGUACGGCCGCAAGGCUA
rnacentral:rRNA from 1 species